rnacentral:rRNA from 1 species
GACGAACGCUGGCGGCGUGCUUAACACAUGCAAGUCGAACGGAAAGGCCCUGCUUUUGUGGGGUGCUCGAGUGGCGAACGGGUGAGUAACACGGGAGUAACCUGCCCUUGACUUUGGGAUAACUUCAGGAAACUGGGGCUAAUACCGGAUAGGAGCUCCUGCUGCAUGGUGGGGGUUGGAAAGUUUCGGCGGUUCGGGAUGGACUCGCGGCUUAUCAGCUUGUUGGUGGGGUAGUGGCUUACCACGGCUUUGACGGGUAGCCGGCCUGAGAGGGUGACCGGCCACAUUGGGACUGCGAUACGGCCCAGACUCCUACGGGAGGCAGCAGUGGGGAAUAUUGCACAAUGGGCGGAAGCCUGAUGCAGCAACGCCGCGUGCGGGAUGACGGCCUUCGGGUUGUAAACCGCUUUCGCCUGUGACGAAGCGUGAGUGACGGUAAUGGGUAAAGAAGCACCGGCUAACUACGUG